AGAAUAUAAGAAACUGUCUCUUAACUUUUAACUAAAAAAACUAAAAACUGGCUCUUAAAUAUCUAAGAGUCGGUUCUUAGCGUUUUCAGUUAAAAGUUAAGAGACAGUUUCUUAUAUUUC
rfam:Brassica rapa chromosome A4, whole genome shotgun sequence.